GGGAAUAACUUAAAAGAUUGCGUCCGUAAUGAACAAAUACAUAGAAGAACAAAAGUAGAGAACGUAAUACAACGCAUUGUUAAUUGAAAUGGUCUUGGGGAGGACCUUUUUCCAUACAAGAUGAUACCAGGUGGACUAAACGCAUAUAGUAGAUGAUGUGAAAGAAAACGAGGGAAGACAAUGGCAUCAGGUAGAAAGAGACUAAUUAAAACGGAAACGUCAAGGGGAGGUGCAGGAUUGGAUAGUCAAUGACUGUUAAAAGAAGAUUGCUUGUAGCUAACUGUAUAGGAAUACUAUAAAAUGAAUGAACGAUUAAAUGUAUUAGCCAAUGGUAAACUUCAGGAAUAUGUUACUGGCAACACAAUUACCAAAAUCUGGUUAACUGGAAGUUUUUUAAAAGUUAUGUUAUAAGUUUUUUUUAAGAGAUUCGUGCUUUCUGUUUUCACAUAUGGAUCAGAAACUUGCACCACUUAUGUUACCUAUGUCUAACAAAAUGGAGAUCACACAAACACGAAUGGAAUGAUCAAUGUUAGGGUACUUGGGGUUGCUAAUGUCAUAGCAUAUUGUCACUGGACACGUUGUCUUGUUCAGGGAUAUUGGAUGAAUACGCAAGCUGUUGGAAUGAAGACUAAGAAUUGAUAAACGCAGUAGAAGACGACCACUCAUGCGCUGAACUGAUGGCAUUAAUAAAAUUGAUAUCAGCUGGAAGAUUUUUGAAGGAUAUAAACGCAGCAUCUAAAAGUUUUUAUUGUAUAACUGCAAGAAUCAAUAAAGUGCUUAAUUUGUAGCUAUUUCCAUAUUUUUUACAUGAAGCGAAUCUAACCAAAAGACUUGGAUUGUGAUUAACAACCUCUCAUUGAAUAUGAUGGAGAUAACAACUUUGAAAAAUACAGAAAAUGUUUAGUUAGAAUAAAAAAUAUAUUUAGUUACUUUGAUUCUAGAUUAACCAUUAAGAAAUAUUAUUGUACAUUGCCUCGUAUAAAAAUUGUCUGUUCAAAAUUAAAAGUCUUCUAGUAAUUUUUAGCAGAUAGGCAAGACAAAACUAUUUUUUAAAAGUUUUAUAUUUUUUUACUAAUCGAAUUUGAUUUAAAUGGAAGCAUGGAAAUUAGUACUUGCCUACAGAUCGAAAUUAUUUUUAAGCUUGAUUGUAUCUACGGGAUUGGUAUUGGUUUUAUAUUUCUUGGUAUAUUUUGUCAUUAAUGUUAAAAACCCCAAAAAUUUCUUUUAAAUGUUCAAUUUUAUAUACUUAAGAAUAUACUUUUUAAUUUCUUUGCAAAUUGAAUAUUUAAAAGGAAGUUACUCAGUCCGCAAGUGGUUCCAAAAAUAUACAGGAAUAUCCAGAAAAAUAUAGUAGUAAUUUUUGUUUCUUGAUUUUAUGUAAGAGAGAAUUAUCUAUUUUUAUCUCACAUAUUGUGGGUCUUCACAUUGUUUCUUUGAGCAGUAUUCGUUUUUACGAUUGGGUAGGUUGAUAACCUUUCCGAUCACCCUCCACAUUUUAUCCGGGCUUGGGACCGGCUCUGGUAACCGCAGAGCUACUCGAUCCACCCCGCAAUUACCCCAGGCAGUGUUUGCAGACGGUGCAAUACUUAUCUCUCAAAGUGAAGAUGAUUUAUAACGUAUGCUGCACCAAUUUAACAUAACUUCCA
rnacentral:lncRNA from 1 species